CGACACAUUUACAUACCACCAUCUUCUUCCCUUUCUUGGGACUGAAGAUGACAAAGUCCGCCUCCACGUUCAGGUGGAUGAAGCCCUGGUCGUCGUGGAUGUCCCCGAGCUCUCCUACCACCUUGACGUUGUCGUAGGCCACCGGCACACCCUGCAGGCUCUCCGAGUAGCGCAGGAGCUCAGCAUCCAGCUGGGCGCGGAUGCCCGUGCGCUUGCGGCCCAGGAAGCGCGGCGGCAGCGCGACGUGCCGGCGGUGCGGCGCCACCACCAGGCACGAGUAGCGCCGGCACACCAGGGCGCAUGCCGCGGCGAAGGACGGCAGCUCAACGGCGGGCAGAGGACGAACGGCGGGCGGCUGCAGCUCCCCCGCCACAGCCAUGCUGCGGGGCCACGCCGCGGCGCGGAGAGAUGGCGUCACCCACCGCCGCGGAAAGUGACGGAGUUCCGGGUGCGCUGCGCUGGUGUAAUGUUCGCCCGUACACGAAAUAAGCGGCUGUCCUGCUGUAAGCAGCGGGAGGUGUGGCUCGUUGGUAAAAACAAGUUUUGUCCAUAAGAGUUGCCCAGACUUUAUAUAAUUUUCUUUUAUACCGUGAAAGAUUUCCUUCAUACCGUGGAGGCCUCAGAAGCACUGUGGUUCUAUAAGGACCAGCCUUACUUCAUCGAUCAGAAAUCCCCAGACUCCAUAUAAAACGUUCAGUGAGGCAAAAGCCUUUUGAAACUAUUCAAACACUACACCAGAAAUUUUUCUUUGACAAUGCAUACAGUGAAGACAGUAUUAUUUCUCACAGUUAAUACAAAUGGUACUUUACUGUACUUUGCUGCAAGUAAAGGUGGAUUAGCGUGAAGGAACUGACAUAAAAAUGGCCUUCAGAUCACUGAAAUUGCAGGACUGAAAAUAUCUUGAAUUACCGUAAUCUAUAUCCUCUCGUGGCUUUAAUCCUCCAGAGCAUUUAACAUCUAUCAAAAUCAAUUGUAAGUUACGCUCUCAGCUUUCUGGAGAAAUAUCUUUAUUUUAUGUUUUCCUAUGUUCAGGUCGUGUUUAAUCCUUGCAAUGUGUUUUCAAUCUCAGUAAAAGACCUUAUACGAUAAUGGCAUACACUUUUAUUCCUAAAUGAAAUAUACAUUUUAUAACUCUCAUUUAUGAGCGGAUUAAGUUUGCAAUGAGGAAUAUAACCAUCUAAGCUCUAUAUUCAAUUUUAUCCAAGAUAAUAAAAAGCUAGCUCGGUUCAUGAAAUGAAAAUUCGGAAUAAGAUGCAAAGACAACAUGAACAAAAACAUGGACUUGUGUGUUUCUCCCUGUAGGCAGCUUGGACAAGUGGGUGCCAGGAGGGCUCCCUCCCUCUCUGCCUUCUGCAGGAAGCUGGUGCUAUCCCUGCAAGGUGCCUGUCCUCAGAAAGCUUAUUGUAUUUCACACUGUAUAAACUGAAAACCUACAACAAAAUAAUGUCUUCAGGCCUGUACAUACUGUGUGGGGCCUACAGAGAGAUUAGCUAAGCCUAAACAACAUGGACAAGGCUUUUAAAGAGUUUUCUUUUAGCUGUGCAGUCACUUGGUCUUCUCCCCAAGGCAGAUGAGCGUAGCAGUGGUGGUGUGGCCAAGCAGAGGUAUUUUAGUUCAGACCAGGUCUGCACUUUCUAAUUGAAUCUCCAUUUAUAAUUGCUUCUGUGCUUUGGUUUUGAUUGCACAGUCCUUUGGAACUUCCAGAAUUCCUUUCAUGUUAAAGUAAU
rnacentral:lncRNA from 1 species